rnacentral:rRNA from 1 species
GACGAACGCUGGCGGCGUGCUUAACACAUGCAAGUCGAACGGAAAGGCCCUGCUUUUGUGGGGUGCUCGAGUGGCGAACGGGUGAGUAACACGUGAGUAACCUGCCCUUGACUUUGGGAUAACUUCAGGAAACUGGGGCUAAUACCGGAUAGGAGCUCCUGCUGCAUGGUGGGGGUUGGAAAGUUUCGGCGGUUGGGGAUGGACUCGCGGCUUAUCAGCUUGUUGGUGGGGUAGUGGCUUACCAAGGCUUUGACGGGUAGCCGGCCUGAGAGGGUGACCGGCAACGUGGGGGCUGGACUGGGGCCGAAAGUGGGACAGGGGGGAGAAGGGGGGAAAGGUGCGCACGGGGCGGAGGUAGGAGGCAGAAGCGGGGCGUGCGGCAGGGGGGGCUGGGGGGUGAAACGGUUGGUCCGGGGGAAGGAGGGGGGGGGGAGGGUAAUGUGCAAUGAAGGAGCGGAUAACGCGGUGCUAGGAGCGAGGGAAAAGGAGGAAGAGAACUCGUAGGAUC